rnacentral:rRNA from 1 species
UACGGAGGAUCCAAGCGUUAUCCGGAAUCAUUGGGUUUAAAGGGUCCGUAGGCGGUUUUGUAAGUCAGUGGUGAAAGCCCAUCGCUCAACGGUGGAACGGCCAUUGAUACUGCAAGACUUGAAUUAUUAGGAAGUAACUAGAAUAUGUAGUGUAGCGGUGAAAUGCUUAGAGAUUACAUGGAAUACCAAUUGCGAAGGCAGGUUACUACUAAUUGAUUGACGCUGAUGGACGAAAGCGUGGGUAGCGAACAGG